rnacentral:rRNA from 1 species
UACGUAGGGGGCAAGCGUUGUCCGGAUUCACUGGGCGUAAAGCGCGUGUAGGCGGCGCGUCAAGUCGGGUGUGAAAGCCCGGGGCUCGACCCCGGGAUGCCGCUCGAAACUGGCGGGCUAGAGACCAGCAGAGGAUAGCGGAAUUCCCGGUGUAGUGGUGAAAUGCGUAGAUAUCGGGAGGAACACCAGUGGCGAAGGCGGCUAUCUGGGCUGGCACUGACGCUGAGGCGCGAAGGCUAGGGGAGCAAACAGG